UACAGAGGUCUCAAGCGUUGUUCGGAUUCAUUGGGCGUAAAGGGUGCGUAGGCGGCGUGGUAAGUCGGGGUGUGAAAUUUCGAGGCUUAACUUCGAAACUGCAUUCGAUACUGCCGUGCUUGAGGACUGGAGAGGAGACUGGAAUUUACGGUGUAGCGGUGAAAUGCGUAGAUAUCGUAAGGAAGACCAGUGGCGAAGGCGGGUCUCUGGACAGUUCCUGACGCUGAGGCACGGAAGGUCAGGGGGAGCAAAACGGGG
rnacentral:rRNA from 1 species